rnacentral:rRNA from 1 species
GAUGAACGCUGGCGGCGUGCCUAAUACAUGCAAGUCGAGCGAACAGACGAGGAGCUUGCCCCUCUGACGUUAGCGGCGGACGGGUGAGUAACACGUGGAUAACCUACCUAUAAGACUGGGAUAACUUCGGGAAACCGGAGCUAAUACCGGAUAAUAUAUUGAACCGCAUGGUUCAAUAGUGAAGGACGGUUUUGCUGUCACUUAUAGAUGGAUCCGCGCCGCAUUAGCUAGUUGGUAAGGUAACGGCUUACCAAGGCAACGAUGCGUAGCCGACCUGAGAGGGUGAUCGGCCACACUGGAACUGAGACACGGUCCAGACUCCUACGGGAGGCAGCAGUAGGGAAUCUUCCGCAAUGGGCGAAAGCUUGACGGAGCAACGCCGCGUGAGUGAUGAAGGUCUUCGGAUCGUAAAACUCUGUUAUUAGGGAAGAACAAAUGUGUAAGUAACUAUGCACGUCUUGACGGUACCUAAUCAGAAAGCCACGGCUAACUACGUG